UUUAGCUGCUGGAGAAGGUGCACUUUAGGCACACACAUGCCAAAUUCCUAAAUGAUCAGCAACUUAAGAGGAGGUUAUUUGAUUGUGAAUAAGCCUUUUAUUGGUUUACGUUUAAGCUGUCUGUGCCUCAUGGAAUUGCCAAUGAAGAUAUUGUCUCGCAAAACCCCGGAGAACUCUCUUGUAAGGUAAAGUAGAGCUCUUUCCUUACUGGUUAAUGUAAAAAAAAAAAUUACUGGCCUCUGUUACUACCAUUACACAUUAUUAAAUGCUUUAGGCUCCAAAGAUUAAAAUGUGAAAAAGUAAUAAUGUUUUAUUAAAUAAUAAUUGCUUCAGAGAGUGGUAUUGUACCUUGCAGCGUGGGGAUGUACUUGUGAUGCUGAAGCAGACGGAAAAUAAUUACCUGGAGUGCCAAAAGGGAGAAGACACUGGCAGAGUUCACCUGUCUCAAAUGAAGAUUAUCACUCCACUUGAUGAACAUCUUAGAAGCAGACCAAACGAUCCAAGCCACGCUCAGAAGCCUGUUGACAGUGGUGCUCCUCAUGCUGUCGUUCUUCAUGAUUUCCCAGCAGAGCAAGUUGAUGAUUUGAACCUCACUUCUGGAGAAAUUGUUUAUCUUCUGGAGAAGAUAGAUACAGAUUGGUACAGAGGGAACUGUAGAAACCAGAUUGGCAUAUUUCCUGCCAACUAUGUCAAAGUGAU
rnacentral:sRNA from 1 species